AGAGUUUGAUCAUGGCUCAGAUUGAACGCUGGCGGCAGGCCUAACACAUGCAAGUCGAACGGUAACAGGAAGCAGCUUGCUGCUUCGCUGACGAGUGGCGGACGGGUGAGUAAUGUCUGGGAAACUGCCUGAUGGAGGGGGAUAACUACUGGAAACGGUGGCUAAUACCGCAUAACGUCGCAAGACCAAAGAGGGGGACCUUCGGGCCUCUUGCCAUCAGAUGUGCCCAGAUGGGAUUAGCUUGUUGGUGAGGUAAUGGCUCACCAAGGCGACGAUCCCUAGCUGGUCUGAGAGGAUGACCAGCCACACUGGAACUGAGACACGGUCCAGACUCCUACGGGAGGCAGCAGUGGGGAAUAUUGCACAAUGGGCGCAAGCCUGAUGCAGCCAUGCCGCGUGUAUGAAGAAGGCCUUCGGGUUGUAAAGUACUUUCAGCGGGGAGGAAGGUGUUGCGGUUAAUAACCGCAGCAAUUGACGUUACCCGCAGAAGAAGCACCGGCUAACUCCGUGCCAGCAGCCGCGUAAUACGGAGGGUGCAAGCGUUAAUCGGAAUUACUGGGCGUAAAGCGCACGCAGGCGGUCUGUCAAGUCGGAUGUGAAAUCCCCGGGCUCAACCUGGGAACUGCAUUCGAAACUGGCAGGCUUGAGUCUUGUAGAGGGGGGUAGAAUUCCAGGUGUAGCGGUGAAAUGCGUAGAGAUCUGGAGGAAUACCGGUGGCGAAGGCGGCCCCCUGGACAAAGACUGACGCUCAGGUGCGAAAGCGUGGGGAGCAAACAGGAUUAGAUACCCUGGUAGUCCACGCCGUAAACGAUGUCUACUUGGAGGUUGUGCCCUUGAGGCGUGGCUUCCGGAGCUAACGCGUUAAGUAGACCGCCUGGGGAGUACGGCCGCAAGGUUAAAACUCAAAUGAAUUGACGGGGGCCCGCACAAGCGGUGGAGCAUGUGGUUUAAUUCGAUGCAACGCGAAGAACCUUACCUGGUCUUGACAUCCACAGAACUUUCCAGAGAUGGAUUGGUGCCUUCGGGAACUGUGAGACAGGUGCUGCAUGGCUGUCGUCAGCUCGUGUUGUGAAAUGUUGGGUUAAGUCCCGCAACGAGCGCAACCCUUAUCCUUUGUUGCCAGCGAUUAGGUCGGGAACUCAAAGGAGACUGCCAGUGAUAAACUGGAGGAAGGUGGGGAUGACGUCAAGUCAUCAUGGCCCUUACGACCAGGGCUACACACGUGCUACAAUGGCGCAUACAAAGAGAAGCGACCUCGCGAGAGCAAGCGGACCUCAUAAAGUGCGUCGUAGUCCGGAUUGGAGUCUGCAACUCGACUCCAUGAAGUCGGAAUCGCUAGUAAUCGUGGAUCAGAAUGCCACGGUGAAUACGUUCCCGGGCCUUGUACACACCGCCCGUCACACCAUGGGAGUGGGUUGCAAAAGAAGUAGGUAGCUUAACCUUCGGGAGGGCGCUUACCACUUUGUGAUUCAUGACUGGGGUGAAGUCGUAACAAGGUAACCGUAGGGGAACCUGCGGUUGGAUCACCU
rnacentral:rRNA from 1 species